GUCUCGAUAGCUAAGUGGUUAUAGCAUGAGAUUGCAGAUCUUGGGGUCCGGCGUUCAAAUCGCCAUCGGGACU